UACGAAGGGGGCUAGCGUUGUUCGGAAUUACUGGGCGUAAAGCGCGCGUAGGCGGUUUUGCAAGCCAGAGGUGAAAUGCCUGAGCUCAACUUAGGAAUUGCCUUUGGGACUGUGAGACUUCGAGGACUGGAGAGGUGAGUGGAAUUCCCAGUGUAGAGGUGAAAUUCGUAGAUAUUGGGAAGAACACCGGUGGCGAAGGCGGCUCACUGGCCAGUUUCUGACGCUGUAGCGCGAAAGCGUGGGGAUCAAACAGU
rnacentral:rRNA from 1 species